UAACUGGCCUGUUCAGAGCCCUGACCUCAACCCCAUCCAACACAUUUGGGAUGAACUGGAACACAAACUGUAAGCCAGAUCUUAGCACC